AGUGAACGCUGGCGGUAGGCCUAACACAUGCAAGUCGAACGGCAGCACAGUAAGAGCUUGCUCUUACGGGUGGCGAGUGGCGGACGGGUGAGGAAUACAUCGGAAUCUACUUUUUCGUGGGGGAUAACGUAGGGAAACUUACGCUAAUACCGCAUACGACCUACGGGUGAAAGCAGGGGAUCUUCGGACCUUGCGCGAUUGAAUGAGCCGAUGUCGGAUUAGCUAGUUGGCGGGGUAAAGGCCCACCAAGGCGACGAUCCGUAGCUGGUCUGAGAGGAUGAUCAGCCACACUGGAACUGAGCCACGGUCCAGACUCCUACGGGAGGCAGCAGUGGGGAAUAUUGGACAAUGGGCGCAAGCCUGAUCCAGCCAUACCGCGUGGGUGAAGAAGGCCUUCGGGUUGUAAGGCCCUUUUGUUGGGAAAGAAAAGCAGCAGGUUAAUACCCCGCUGUUCUGACGGUACCCAAAGAAUAAGCACCGGCUAACUUCGUG
rnacentral:rRNA from 1 species